rnacentral:tRNA from 1 species
GGAGCUGUGGCUCAAUGGUAGAGCGCUUGCCUGGCACAUGUGAGGCCCUGGGUUUGAUUCUCAGCACCA